rnacentral:lncRNA from 1 species
ACAAAACCCGGAAGGACCCCGCCGAAGGUUUUCUCCGGUUCGGGAGAGAGACGGAGUCCCGCUCUGUCACGCAGGCUGCCAGGCUGGCGUACAGUGGCGCAAUCUCAGCUCGCUGCAACCUCCACCUCCUGGGUUCAAGCGAUUUUCUUGCCUCUGCCUCCUGAGUAGCUGGGAUUACUGGCACACACCACCAUGCACAGUUCCUUGUUCAAAAUGCCAAGAACCUGGAUGACUCAUAGUCAAGACCCUCCACCAGUAACAUAUAUUGGCGAGCCAGCCAGGAGCUUGGAACCCUCGGUGGACAGUGCCUAAGCACAGAGGCAACCACAGGUUUCUAACAGGGCCACUCUCUGGUGAAACUGAAAGGUUUCUGUGUGAAAGUGCCUGACCACCACUGCCCAAUUCAGUUGCAGGAAUUUAGCCAAUUCAGAGGUCUUGUUCUCCAUAAUUUGGAAUUUUCCUUCGGAUUUGAUCAAGUUGGAUAGAGUUGGUCAAACCCAAUGGGAAAAAGAUGAAAACAACAAGAAACAGAAACAAACAGCAACAACAACAACAACAAAAACA